rnacentral:rRNA from 1 species
UACGUAGGGGGCAAGCGUUGUCCGGAUUUAUUGGGCGUAAAGCGCUCGCAGGUGGUUUGCCGCGUCGUGCGUGAAAGACCCCGGCUCAACUGGGGAGGGUCGUGCGAUACGGGCAGACUGGAGGCCAGUAGGGGGAUGCGGAAUUCCGGGUGUAGUGGUGGAAUGCGUAGAGAUCCGGAGGAACACCAGCGGCGAAGGCGGCAUCCUGGACUGGUCCUGACACUCAGGAGCGAAAGCGUGGGGAGCGAUCCGG